rnacentral:rRNA from 1 species
UACAGAGGGGGCAAGCGUUGUUCGGAAUUACUGGGCGUAAAGGGCGCGUAGGCGGCCUUCUAAGUCGAACGUGAAAUCCCCGGGCUCAACCUGGGAACUGCAUUGGUGACUGCAAGGCUUGAGUGUGUCAGAGGGAGGUGGAAUUCCGCGUGUAGCAGUGAAAUGCGUAGAUAUGCGGAGGAACACCGAUGGCGAAGGCAGCCUCCUGGGAUAACACUGACGCUCAUGCACGAAAGCGUGGGGAGCAAACAGG